rnacentral:rRNA from 1 species
UACGUAGGGUGCGAGCGUUGUCCGGAAUCAUUGGGCGUAAAGCGCGUGUAGGCGGUUCAGUAAGUCUGCUGUGAAAGUCCAGGGCUCAACCCUGGGAUGCCGGUGGAUACUGCUGGGCUAGAGUACGGAAGAGGCGAGUGGAAUUCCCGGUGUAGCGGUGAAAUGCGCAGAUAUCGGGAGGAACACCAAUUGCGAAGGCAGCUCGCUGGGACGUCACUGACGCUGAGACGCGAAAGCGUGGGGAGCAAACAGG